UCCAAUAGCGUAUAUUAAAGUUGUUGCAGUUAAAAAGCUCGUAGUUGAAUUUCGGGGUUAGUAGGUUGGUCAUGCCUCUGGUAUGUACUGGUCUCACUGAUUCCUCCUUCCUGAUGAGCCGUAAUGCCAUUAAUUUGGUGUUGCGGGGAAUUUGGACUGUUACUUUGAAAAAAUUAGAGUGUUUAAAGCAAGCUAACGCUUGAAUACAUUAGCAUGGAAUAAUGAAAUAGGACGUUCGAUCCUAUUUUGUUGGUUUCUAGAAUUGACGUAAUGAUUAAUAGGGAUAGUUGGGGGCAUUAGUAUUCAAUUGUCAGAGGUGAAAUUCUUGGAUUUAUUGAAGACUAACUACUGAGAAAGCAUUUGCCAAGGAUGUUUUCAUUAAUCAAGAACGAAAGUUAGGGGAUCGAAGUCGAUCAGAUACCGUCGUAGUCUUAACCAUAAACUAUGCCGACUAGGGAUCGGAUGAUGUUAAUUUUUUAAUGACUCAUUCGGCGCCUUACGGGAAC
rnacentral:rRNA from 1 species